GGAGGGAUAGCUCAGUGGUUAAGAGCACUGACUGCUCUUCCAGAGGUCCUGAGUUCAAUUCCCAGUACCCACA
rnacentral:tRNA from 1 species